rnacentral:rRNA from 1 species
UACGAAGGGGGCUAGCGUUGCUCGGAAUCACUGGGCGUAAAGGGUGCGUAGGCGGGUCUUUAAGUCAGGGGUGAAAUCCUGGAGCUCAACUCCAGAACUGCCUUUGAUACUGAGGAUCUUGAGUUCGGGAGAGGUGAGUGGAACUGCGAGUGUAGAGGUGAAAUUCGUAGAUAUUCGCAAGAACACCAGUGGCGAAGGCGGCUCACUGGCCCGAUACUGACGCUGAGACACGAAGGCCAGGGGAGCAAACGGG